GAUGAACGCUGGCGGCGUGCCUAAUACAUGCAAGUCGAGCGAACAGAUGAGGAGCUUGCUCCUCUGACGUUAGCGGCGGACGGGUGAGUAACACUUGGAUAACCUACCUAUAAGACUGGGAUAACUUCGGGAAACCGGAGCUAAUACCGGAUAAUAUAUUGAACCGCAUGGUUCAAUAGUGAAAGACGGUUUUGCUGUCACUUAUAGAUGGAUCCGCGCCGCAUUAGCUAGUUGGUAAGGUAACGGCUUACCAAGGCAACGAUUCGUAGCCGACCUGAGAGGGUGAUCGGCCACACUGGAACUGAGACACGGUCCAGACUCCUACGGGAGGCCGCAGUAGGGAAUCUUCCGAAAUGGGCGAAAGCCUGACGGAGCAACGCCGCGUGAGUGAUGAAGGUCUUCGGAUCGUAAAACUCUGUUAUUAGGGAAGAACAAAUGUGUAAGUAACUAUGCACGUCUUGACGGUACCUAAUCAGAAAGCCACGGCUAACUACGUG
rnacentral:rRNA from 1 species